rnacentral:lncRNA from 1 species
GGAGUUGACCAAAUAAAUAUGGACUGAUACUAAACUAAUCAUAAUAUAUAAGUAUCAGUUAUAAGCUAUAAUUAAUGACAUUACGUAAGAUAUACACUUCCAGAUACAUCAUGGAAAUCCUUACACUCAUUUUUCCAUUGCAAGUGGCCUUUAAAAUUAAUUGGUUCUACUCAUCAAAGAAUGUUUUCCUUUUUGAAGAGCAAAAUUUGGUGAAAGUUGUGGAUCAGCGCUGCUGGACAUCCCAAAUAUACUUCUACGGAUCAUUCAGGACAUGACAAUAAAAGGAUUCCUGUUAAAUGAAAUAUUUACUUGAAUAAGAAAAAUAUUUGUUCCUGGCUCACUUUCAAGAUAAUAUGUUUCGUCGUGGACCUUUAGAAGGACGAUGGCUAUUGACACACGAUGCAAUCCCAACUCUUUUCGAUUAUAAGAAGAAAAUGAAUAGUGGAAAACAUUCAUUAAAUAGGAAAACAGUAGAAGAAAAGCUUAAAAGAAUUAAAUCCAACCUUACUUAAUGUCAUUCAUACUCCAAUUAUUUUUUAUGCUCACCCAACGAUGAUAGUGAAGAACCCGAUUUACGGAUUAACUAUGUGAGCAAUCUACUCAUGAUGAAUUGACGGUUAAAAAGAAGUAUUUUUCUUUGUAAUACAAAAAGAUUAAAUAAAUCCCUCGGAAUCAUGUACAAAUUAUAAAUAUUUAUUAAGUAUGAAAAAAAGUUGUCUUGGAAAAGAAUGCACAACUUGAACCAAA